rnacentral:rRNA from 1 species
AGAGUUUGAUCCUGGCUCAGGACAAACGCUGGCGGCGUGCUUAACACAUGCAAGUCUAAGGAGAACGUUAUUUUCGGAUAACAAGUAAACUGGCGGACGGGUGAGUAACGCGUAGGCUACCUACCUUUAAGAUUGGGAUAACGUUUGGAAACGAACGCUAAUACCAAAUAAUAUUCUUUGAAUCAAAGGGGGCUUCGGCUCUUGCUUAAAGAUGGGCCUGCGUCUGAUUAGCUAGAUGGUAAGGUAAUGGCUUACCAUGGCAACGAUCAGUAGCUGGUUCGAGAGGAUGAUCAGCCACACUGGGACUGAGAUACGGCCCAGACUCCUACGGGAGGCAGCAGUGGGGAAUUUUGCGCAAUGAGGGAAACCUUGACGCAGCAACGCCGCGUGAUCGAAGAAGCUUCUAGGAGUGUAAAGAUCUGUCAUAGGGGAAGAAAUGCUUAUAUUCUAACACAAUAUUUGCUUGACGGUACCCUAUAAGAAAGCUCCGGCUAACUAGGUGCCAGCAGCCGCGGUAAUACCUGGGGGGCAAGCGUUGUCCGGAUUCAUUGGGCGUAAAGGGCUCGUAGGUGGACUGACCAGUCAAAAUUGAAAUACAAUGGCUUAACCAUUGGCACGGUUUUGAUACUAUCAGUCUUGAGUGAAAUAGAGGUAAGCGGAAUUCCUAGUGUAGCGGUGAAAUGCGUAGAUAUUAGGAGGAACACCAAAGGCGAAGGCAGCUUACUGGAUUUAUACUGACACUGAGGAGCGAAAGCGUGGGUAGCGAACAGGAUUAGAGACCCUGGUAGUCCACGCCGUAAACGAUGAGCAC